rnacentral:rRNA from 1 species
GUGGUUUAAUUCGAAGCAACGCGAAGAACCUUACCAGGUCUUGACAUCCUCUGACAACCCUAGAGAUAGGGCUUUCCCUUCGGGGACAGAGUGACAGGUGGUGCAUGGUUGUCGUCAGCUCGUGUCGUGAGAUGUUGGGUUAAGUCCCGCAACGAGCGCAACCCUUGAUCUUAGUUGCCAGCAUUUAGUUGGGCACUCUAAGGUGACUGCCGGUGACAAACCGGAGGAAGGUGGGGAUGACGUCAAAUCAUCAUGCCCCUUAUGACCUGGGCUACACACGUGCUACAAUGGACAGAACAAAGGGCUGCGAGACCGCAAGGUUUAGCCAAUCCCAUAAAUCUGUUCUCAGUUCGGAUCGCAGUCUGCAACUCGACUGCGUGAAGCUGGAAUCGCUAGUAAUCGCGGAUCAGCAUGCCGCGGUGAAUACGUUCCCGGGCCUUGUACACACCGCCCGUCACACCACGAGAGUUUGCAACACCCGAAGUCGGUGAGGUAACCUUUAUGGAGCCAGCCGCCGAAGGUGGGGCAGAUGAUUGGGGUGAAGUCGUAACAAGGUAGCCGUAUCGGAAGGUGCGGCUGGAUCACCUCCUUUCUA